GGGCUGCAGACCCCAGCUCCCGCGAGCGCCACGGCUGGCUUGCCUGUUCCAUGUGGCUCCGGCGGGGAUGGAGGACCCGGUGGCGGCGGCGGCGGCUGCUGCUGCGGUGGCGACGGAGAAGCGGCUCUGAGGAGGGAACGGGGCCAGACUCAGCCCGACAGCGGGAUUAGAGUUCUCCAGAAUACACGUCAUAUAGUCCCUGAGGUGGAAUGGUGAUGUCUCCAUGAGGGAACCUCCUCUCACUCAUCCUGUCAUGUAUAUCAUACUGUUCUUGACUGGUCCAUUCAUCUAAGAUGGGAUUUACCCUGUGAAAUGGGGAGAAGACUUAUGGACCCCAAACAUCAUUUCAAGUUGUAGUUGAGUUUUUAAAGUACAGACACAUGCAAAGCUCCUUUGCUUUGGACCCUCUGCUUUAUUAAAGUUGCUGUGUUGCUAACCCAGAACUGCUCCGGUGAUCAUCAUGGCUUCAGUUUGGAAGAGACUGCAGCGUGUGGGAAAACAUGCAUCCAAGUUCCAGUUUGUGGCUUCCUACCAGGAGCUGAUGGUUGAGUGUACAAAGAAAUGGAGCAUCUGGAAGGCCAGUGUGUGGAGUACAGUGAAAAGGGAUAAAGCGAUAAGAGGUGAAGUCUAAGAGUGGUAGCCAGUAUGGGGAUCUGAAGCCGUGACGUUGGUGUUAUAAGGCUGAGCUCUAACCAAUUGAGCUAACUGGCCAGCCCUCCUUUGUCUGAAUUUCUGCCAAAGUUGUUCUUUUAAAAUGAACCUUCCAUAGUUCCCUUUUGUUUAUACGAUAUAUUUAGUAUGAUAUUUUAAUCUUUUAAAUCUGUUCUUAUUCUAUUGUACUAGUCUUCUUUCAACCAUUUAUUUCCCUUAAGAUUCUAAAAUCUUGUUUACCACAUGCAAAUAGUUUUUC